rnacentral:misc_RNA from 1 species
AAAGCUUUCAAUAAUCAAUCUUCUUCUUCGAAACCUCGAAACUGUUCUUGCAAGAAGGCGAUCGACCUACUCAAUAUGUCCAAACUAUGAAAUAACAGGAAUACCUAUUUGGCAUCAAAAUCCUUCAGCUUCAAUCAGAUUUUUGCGGCCUGAGAAGUUGAGGAGUUCCAUUCAUGCUUCAAGAGCAGUGCAUAAAGAAGUUCAU